rnacentral:rRNA from 1 species
UACAGGGGGGGCAAGCGUUGUUCGGAAUUACUGGGCGUAAAGGGCUCGUAGGCGGCCAACUAAGUCAGACGUGAAAUCCCUCGGCUUAACCGGGGAACUGCGUCUGAUACUGGAUGGCUGGAGUUUGGGAGAGGGAUGCGGAAUUCCAGGUGUAGCGGUGAAAUGCGUAGAUAUUGGGAGGAACACCAGUGGCGAAGGCGGCUACCUGGACCGGUUCUGACGCUGAGGCGCGAAAGCCAGGGGAGCAAACGGG